rnacentral:rRNA from 1 species
AUUGUACAAUGUUCAAAUAUUUAUAGGAUUAAGAUGGGCAUGCGUGUCAUUAGCUAGUUGGCGGGGUAACGGCCCACCAAGGCGACGAUGACUAGGGGAUCUGAGAGGAUGACCCCCCACACUGGUACUGAGACACGGACCAGACUCCUACGGGAGGCAGCAGUAAGGAAUAUUGGUCAAUGGAGGCAACUCUGAACCAGCCAUGCCGCGUGCAGGAAGACAGCCCUCUGGGUCGUAAACUGCUUUUAUUCGGGAAUAAACCACAUUACGUGUAAUGUGCUGAAUGUACCGAAGGAAUAAGGAUCGGCUAACUCCGUGCCAGCAGCCGCGGUAAUACGGAGGAUCCAAGCGUUAUCCGGAUUUAUUGGGUUUAAAGGGUGCGUAGGCGGCUUAUUAAGUCAGGGGUGAAAGACGGUGGCUCAACCAUCGCAGUGCCUUUGAUACUGAUGAGCUUGAAUACACUAGAGGUAGGCGGAAUGUGACAAGUAGCGGUGAAGUGCAUAGAUAUGUCACAGAACACCGAUUGCGAAGGCAGCUUACUAUGGUGUGAUUGACGCUGAGGCACGAAAGCGUGGGGAUCAAACAGGAUUAGAUACCCUGGUAGUCCACGCCCUAAACGAUGAAUACUCGCUGUUAGCGAUAUACAGUUAGCGGCUAAGCGAAAGCGUUAAGUAUUCCACCUGGGGAGUACGCCCGCAAGGGUGAAACUCAAAGGAAUUGACGGGGGCCCGCACAAGCGGAGGAGCAUGUGGUUUAAUUCGAUGAUACGCGAGGAACCUUACCCGGGCUUGAAAGUUAGUGAAUCAUUUAGAGAUAGAUGAGUCCGCAAGGACACGAAACUAGGUGCUGCAUGGCUGUCGUCAGCUCGUGCCGUGAGGUGUUGGGUUAAGUCCCGCAACGAGCGCAACCCCUAUGUUUAGUUGCCAACACGUUAUGGUGGGGACUCUAAACAGACUGCCUGUGCAAACAGAGAGGAAGGAGGGGACGACGUCAAGUCAUCAUGGCCCUUACGUCCGGGGCUACACACGUGCUACAAUGGAUGGUACAGAGGGCAGCAAGCUGGCAACAGCAAGCGAAUCUCAAAAAGCCAUUCACAGUUCGGAUAGAGGUCUGCAACUCGACCUCUUGAAGUUGGAUUCGCUAGUAAUCGCGUAUCAGCAAUGACGCGGUGAAUACGUUCCCGGGCCUUGUACACACCGCCCGUCAAGCCAUGGAAGUUGGGGGUACCUAAAGUAUGUAACCGCAAGGAGCGUCCUAGGGUAAAACCGAUAACUGGGGCUAAGUCGUAACAAGGUA